UACGUAGGGGGCAAGCGUUGUCCGGAUUUAUUGGGCGUAAAGAGCGUGUAGGCGGCCAGGUAGGUCCGCUGUGAAAACCCGAGGCUCAACCUCGGGACGUCGGCGGAAACCAUCUGGCUAGAGUUCGGGAGAGGAGAGUGGAAUUCCCGGUGUAGCGGUGAAAUGCGCAGAUAUCGGGAAGAACGACCCGUGGCGAAGGCGGCUCUCUGGGAACGAUACUGACGCUGAG
rnacentral:rRNA from 1 species